CCAAGCAGGAAGCUGUCAGUGAAUGCUGGAUUUCUCUGCCCUCCCCCCCGGAAACUGAGGCCGCCAUAGCUAGGGGCUAUGCUGUGGAACUGUUUUAAGGCAAUAUUAUUAGAAGAGGAAUCUUAUCUAACAUGGACAGAGUGAAACCAGCCAUUGGCUCCAUGGGGCUGAGCCGAGCUAUACAGCAGAAAUGGCAUCUCCUUUGCAGUGCUGAAAUAUGGCUUGUCCGGAUUUGUCCAGGCUUCAGCUACGGAUUGCCACAGCCUGUGCACCACCUCCAUCUUGGUCAGCAUGCGGUGAGGCCUGCCCACAAAGAGCGCAAGUUAAAAAGCACUAUCUCGAAUGUGGAUUGUGAUCGCCUGAAAGGUGUUGUAAUGAAGGCGCUACCAGAUGGGGUAACUCCUAGCUAGCAGCUUCAACCCAGGGGGAGACCCUAUGAUGAUGGAUGAGAGAACUGCUGAGGUUAUUGAGCCAAAACAUCAAGUUGGUCAUAGAUGCUCUGUGGGGAGCCUGUUUUCCAAGUCUCCACACAGUCCUGUUGGCAUCUUAUGGAAGAUGGAACGUUCUCCCACCUCCCUCACGCAAAACAGAUACGCGUGUUUAUUGCAACAGAAGUGACCAAGCACUCACUUUUCACCACGAAGAAACCUAAAAGCAAGUUCCUUGCCACCAUCCCUUACAGAUAACACCUUGCUAUUCACUGGUACCUUCUCGCUGAGGUCCUCAAAGUGCUUUACAAAUAUUAAUGAGUCUGUCAUGGCAGAGAGGGGGAAACUGAGGCACAGAGCUUGUCUGACACUUUCAGAAGAGUCCUCUAAUUCUGGAUGCCUGAGGUGAGACAACCUAGCAUUCUGAUCUAUAUCCGCUUCCUGGCUACGCACAGAGAGCUGCAAAGAGAGGAGUUCACUGUUGACCAGGGGCACUGCCCUAUCAUUCUCCGAUCCAGAUUUGUGAUACUGGAACUUGGAUUUCCCCCAUUUCACUUUGACAUCAAGGCCUGCAUACGUUUCAGCAGCGUGUCCUGAUGUCACUGCAGGAAAAUUUGCAAUCUAAUGCGGCUUCUAAGCUAUGGGGUGCAUCGAAGCACUUUUUGCUGUGUGAAGCAAGAAGCCAGUUAACCCUGUGCUACAUUGUUAUGGCUCCAAGCAAGAACGUCACAACUGUUAUUUUCUUCCAUGUUCAGUUAACCAUAGACAAAAGCUUUAUUCUUAAACCUGGUUGUUCUUGACAUCAUUUUUGGCAUUUUGGGAGGAGAUAGGGGAAAGGGUUUAACAUAAGUUCUGGGGGAUCCCUAAGCUUUGUUACAUCAAACGUAAGAUGUUCAGGUGACGGUUUUGGUACCCAUUAAAUGGGACGUUUAUCAUUCGGGCAUUUGGUUUAGGACUUAGGAGCACUUAAUGCUCAGCCUAGCCACUAGAUCCAAUCAGGAGCGGCGCCAGGGUUUUUGCUGCCCUAGGCGGGGGUCCUUCCGCGCUCCCGGUCUUCGGCGGCAAUUCUGCGGCGGGGGGGGUCCUUCCGUGC